ACAACCCCGGGAAACUGGGGCUAAUCCCUGAUAGGUGAAGAACUCUGGAAUGAGUCUCCGCCCAAAAGACGCUUAGGUCAUGCUUUAGGCGUCGCCCAAGGAUGGGGCCGCGACCGAUCAGGUUGUUGGUGAGGUAACGGCUCACCAAGCCAUUUACCGGUACGGGCCGUGAGAGCGGGAGCCCGGAGAUGGGCACUGAGACAAGGGCCCAGGCCCUACGGGGCGCAGCAGUCGCGCAAACUUUGCAAUACACGAAAGUGUGACAGGGCUACCCCGAGUGCCGCCCGCUGAGGGUGGCUUUUACCCAGUAUAACAAGCUGGGAGAAUAAGGAGAGGGCAAGACUGGUGUCAGCCGCCGCGGUAAUACCAGCUCUCCGAGUGGUGUGGAUGUUUAUUGGGCCUAAAGCAUCCGUAGCUGGCUGAACAAGUCCUCUGUUAAACCCAACGAAUUAAUCGUUGGAUCGCGGGGGAUACUGCUCGGCUUGGGGGCGAGAGAGGCAGACGGUAUUUCCGGGGUAGGAGUGAAAUCCUAUAAUCCCGGGAAGACCACCAGUGGCGAAGGCUGUCUGCUAGAACGCGCCCGACGGUGAGGGAUGAAAGCUGGGGUAGCGAACCGGAUUAGAUACCCGGGUAGUCCCAGCUGUAAACUAUGCACGCUAGAUGUUUGGGCGGCCACGUGCCGCCCUAGUGCCGCAUGGAAGCUGUUAAGCCUGCCGCCUGGGGAGUACGAUCGCAAGAUUGAAACUUA
rnacentral:rRNA from 1 species